AGUUUAGGAUUUGUGACCUGCUCUAGAUUAUGUUUUUGAAUUUUUGCAAAUAUGUGGCGUUAAAAUUCGUGUGGAGGUCAACGUGUGUAUGUGACUGUGGGAAGAUCAGAGCGUGGCUCUGUUUCUGCAUUGUGAUUGGCCGGUUUGGACGACGGCUGUACCUCUUCGUCUUUCUCGCGGAUCAGUUUUUCCGUCUCUGUGUCUGAUACGUUGGGAGCUGUGGGAAUGGGGAAAUCCGUGCCACUCUCUCUAUCAUCCAUUCAUUUUCUGAACCACUCGUACUACACAGACAGACUCGGGACACAAGACUGGGGACAUCCUGAACAGGGUGCUUGCACACAGAGCAGAGGCAGGAAUUGAACCCACAAGCCCAGAGGUGCUAGGCAAACCAGAGACUCUAACCACGAGACCAAAUAAACCCCUGCACUGCAAUUCCUGUGAAUGCAAUGCAAACUCAGCUCUGCACUUAUUCAAGAGGAGUCCCCAGUGUCAGGACAGAAGUUAUUCAGCAGUUCCUUAACCAUGUUCUUCUGACAAGGCACUGCAGUGGAACUGAAAGGAUUUCACAUGAAUUUCUGAAACAGCUUACGGAUAUAUUGUACUCAAGAAACCAAAAACUCAUCCUUGUCCUCAUCCAAGAGCCCUGCUGGGACUACUCCGGCGGUCCAGCUCUAAUUCCGAUGAAAACAAGUGUGACCACAACUCUCCAUGAGGCCCAAAUUUUGAGAAACCUCAACAGAAGGCACUUAGCUAAAUCAAGAUGUCAUUGUAUAACUUUGCAGUUAAAACACAAACAUCUGUUUUCAGUCGCUUGGAGAUCUGUCAGCUUCUCAGUUUCGUAUAUUUAAAGAAAGAAUAUAAGACUGUUACGGUGGUCAUGUGACUGCAAUAUUGUCUUUGUGGUCGAUCUCCAUUGUUUUUGCUCAGCUGUGAAUGGAGCAUAAAACUGCCACCAAAAAGUAGGUUCACAUGCUACUGUCUAAACCGAAGAUUUCAUCAUGAAGAUGGAUUUAGAUUUCAUCAUACGACAAAUACAGUAGCUGGUUUUCAAACAGAAGACAAAAUUAUGAUAAAAUUAUGUUCUGGUGAAAUGAUAAUUAUUUCAUUUUGCACCUGUUUUUGUUGUAUUCAUGUUCUGCAUUAAAUGUCGUUGUCAUGCCACAAUCCACAGCGGUGAUUGAAAUAAAGCUCAUAUGAAAGUAGACACUCAGGGCUUGAGAGAAAAGUACUUCUCUCAAGUAUUUACCUAGCCUACU